rnacentral:rRNA from 1 species
UACGUAGGGUGCAAGCGUUAUCCGGAAUUAUUGGGCGUAAAGAGCUCGUAGGCGGUUUGUCGCGUCUGCUGUGAAACCCCGAGGCUCAACCUCGGGCCUGCAGUGGGUACGGGCAGACUAGAGUGCGGUAGGGGAGAUUGGAAUUCCGGGUGUAGUGGUGAAAUGCGUAGAGAUCCGGAGGAACCCCAGAGGCGAAGGCGGUGCCCUGGUUCGCAACUGACGCUCAGACACGACAGCAUGGGGAGCGAACGGG